UACGAAGGGAGCUAGCGUUGUUCGGAAUUACUGGGCGUAAAGGGCGCGUAGGCGGUUUGACAAGUUGGAUGUGAAAGCCCAGGGCUCAACCCUGGAAUAGCAUUCAAGACUGUUUUACUUGAAUUCGGUAGAGGUGAGUGGAAUUCCCAGUGUAGAGGUGAAAUUCGUAGAUAUUGGGAAGAACACCAGUGGCGAAGGCGGCUCACUGGACCGACAUUGACGCUGAGGCGCGAAAGCGUGGGGAUCAAACAGG
rnacentral:rRNA from 1 species